UACAGAGGUCCCAAGCGUUGUUCGGAUUCACUGGGCGUAAAGGGUGCGUAGGCGGUCGGAUAAGUCUGAUGUGAAAUCUUCGAGCUCAACUCGGAAACUGCAUCGGAAACUAUCUGGCUUGAGGAUUGGAGGGGAGACUGGAAUUCUCGGUGUAGCAGUGAAAUGCGUAGAUAUCGAGAGGAACACCAGUGGCGAAGGCGAGUCUCUGGACAAUUCCUGACGCUGAGGCACGAAAGCUAGGGGAGCAAACAGG
rnacentral:rRNA from 1 species